ACAGAGCAUGUUGCCCCUCCUGAAAAGGGUCCUGUUGGGAGGUGUGCAAUACUCAGACGUGAUCAUAACACAGAUAAACUUGUUGCAUGCAGAGAGGAGCCCCAGUCAUAAGCUUUGAGUAAACUGGAGUGUGACAUGUGAGGAUCUGCGUCCCCUGCUACCGUGACUGCAAGUCCUUCCCGGAUACACAAUGAGUGUGGCUACAUCUCCCGGCUUCGUGCACACAAGCUGCGGAUUUUGUCGCCCAAUUCAAGUGCCACCCAAGUCACGAUGACUACACCCAUGCUGUGCUGGACCUAGUUACAAAGUGAAGCUGGAAACUAAGGCAAUGCAGUAAAUAGCAUGGACAGGGUGAUCCAGGAGACAUGGUAUGCUCAGAGUACCCAAGGUAUGCCAACAUGCCAUAUGAAUGAGAGCAAAUCAAAAGAAAUUCUCUCUACAGACUUAUCAAAAGGGAAGGACACUUGGCUUUGUGAGAACUCGAGAUUGCCUAUAAGUGGUAACAAACAAUGACUACUGAAUCCACGUUUUAAAACAUAUGCCAAAUUUGCAAUGUUGUUAUCAUCAAUGGGUUGUCCUGUAUUUCUUUUGGAAUUUCUUAUUUAUA